UUUUGAAACCAGGAUUAGAUACCCUAUUAUACUAAUAUAAAAUUUAACUCUUAUUAUUAUUAGUUAUGUUCUUAAAAAUAAAAAAAUUUGGCGGKGUCUAAUUUAUUUAGGGGAACCUGUUUUAUAAUCGAUAAACCACSAAAAAUCUUACUUGUUUAAAAAUUUUGUAUACCGUUAUUAUUAGAUAAUUUUGAUAGAAAAAAAUAUUGUAAUUUGAUUUUAAAAUAUAUUAGAUCAAGGUGCAGACAAUAAGCAAGAAAAAAUGGGUUACAAUAAAUUUGGUUUAAGACGGAUAUUAGGUAGAGAAAAAGUAAUUGAAGGGGGACUUAAUUGUAACUAUUAUUUUAAUAAGUUAAAGUGAAAUAAACACUUGGACAUGUACAUAUCGCCCGUCGCUCGCGGGAAAA
rnacentral:rRNA from 1 species